rnacentral:lncRNA from 1 species
UAUAAUAAUUUAUUUUCCACUCAAGUUUAUUUUUGUUAUUUUUUUUUUGUCAUCAAUAAAUGUGCACUCAUUAGGAAGCGUAACAAUUUCUCAAACUUUAGGUUAAUCAAUUAAAUAAAAAAAUAACUAAAAAUCAUUAGAUCAUACUUGAAACCAUUCGGUCAAACCCCGAUGGCCAAAAAAGUGUUAAGCUGUUAACCAAUUAAUUACUUAUUGUUUAAUAAUUGAACCUCAAGGUGGUUAUGUAAUACGUACAUAUUUCUGCUAGGACACUGAAAAAUUAUGUGAAUGGAAUGAAUAUGACCCAUCAGUGGACUUGAUGGAAAAAUUUCAGCACCAGCAUCAUUAAUUAUAUGAACUGAACAUUGAACAGAGGAAGAAUGGUAGGCGAUAUUAAUAAGCUUUCAUUUUCAUGGUUAGCUUGUGAUUUUGGUGUCCACCAAUAUUUAGAGUUUUUUUUUUUUUUUUUUUUGACUAGCGGAUAGCUAGUAGGGGCUGCUGGCAUGAAAUUUACACACUACACGCCGGAGAAGAAACAAGAACAUAAAUGAUAAAUGCAGAAUGUGUGAUCAUUUAUAUUAUUUGAACAAUUAAUUAGCUAGUUUUUAUCUUACAUUAUUAUGUGAACCGUAAAAUUGGGAGAGGUUUAGAGCUUAAUUAAAACUAUUAUUAUUUGGGUCCAUAUUAAAUAGUUUAAGUUUUUAGGUCAAACGGUUAUUUUUAUAGUUCUGUUCAUAUUUGAAAAAAAAAAUGACAUAGUUAAAUAUGAAAGUGAUCAGAGGCUGUUACUACCUUUACCAAUUAGUUUAAAUUUUAAAUUAGGCAUGCAUCUAUGGUGCAAACAUACUUAAAAUGAUUCGUUAGAAUUUAAUUACUAUUAUGGCUUGAACUCUUAUUCCUAAAAAAAUAUGUAGUAACUUAACUACUCAACAAUGGAUCAUGUAAACAUUGAAAGUGAAGAUGAGAGUAAAAACAAUUGACAUCUGAAAGAAAUACUGCCCGAAUCCUUUAAUCUAUCAUUCAAAGAGUAUAUAUGCACGGAUGAAUCUUAUAAACUUGUAGAAAUUUAGGUUAGAAAUAAACAUCCAAAGGUGAUCUGUCAUGGCCAAUUCGACUGUGACGACUGUGAUAAUAUAUUUAAUUGCAUUAUCAAGGUAAGAGAAAAGCAGCCAUCAUAUUGCUGAAUAUAGGGAUGACCUUAAUUAAGACUUUGAUUUUCUUUAUAUUUAUGCUGGUAUAGAGUCAUCUUCCUACUGCUGUACACAUAUAUAUAGGUAAUUACACCAAACUCAUAUAUUUAAAUGAUUACUUGAAACUAAACACAAAUUUUGAAAGGUCUUCACACAAAACUUGAAACAUUUUAACUCCUGUAUGCUAUAGACAAAUGUCAAUUACAUAUAUAGGGUUAAAAACAAAAUGAAAUUUUGAAUGCUGCAGUAAUGGAAUCUACAGCUUUAUAUGACGUGAAAUAGGCAAGAUUUGGUGCGAUGUCCUGGUACAAUUCAGAUGUGACUAAAUUUUUCUGUGCAUGCAUUUUGAAUUAAUCGACACAGAAACUUCAGAAAGAAACAAAACUACGGGCAUAAUUAUACUAGCCAAACUGUUCCGAGUUUCAACCUAUCUUGCCUUGAAAUUGAUACAAGCUAACAGAACAGAAGGUACAAGAGGGACCAAAACCGAAAAAAAUCAUUAACUUAAAAGAAGAAUAGAAAUUUCUUAAAAAUGGAAUCUUUCCAGUUUGAGCAUUAUAUCUGGUUUUUUUUUUAUUUUUUUUAUUUUUUAUAGAUAAAUGUGGAGAUAAACAACUCACAGAUCAAUUUUUUAGUCUCAUAUCUCUUUAAAAUUCAAACUUAGAUAACCUCUCAAAGAACACUAUUUAAAAAUUACUCAACCAAGUUAUUAGGGCUUUAGUUUUGAAAAUUCCUCAUACAAUAUUAAUGAUGAAAAUAAGUUAAGUAUUUAGUUUUGAUGAAAGAUGCAUUCAAUCUAAUAUUUUAUAUGAAGAGAAAGUCCUUGGUCCUAUUAGUCUAUCCAGUAUUUUUUAUUAGAUAAAUCCUAAUUUAGACUCUAUAUUUUGGAUUAAGCAUCUAUUUAGUUCCUAUAUUUUAAAAAAUAUUUUAAGAUGCUCAUAUUGUUAUAUAUGUUACACUUAUAUCAUUACUUUUUCUUGAAUUUUAUAAUAAUACCCUUUCAACAAUAUUUUUGGGGACAUUAGUAAAAUUAAAAUUAUUGCAAACUUUUUUGUUAUUAU